UAGUGGGUCCCGACAGCGUUCCGGUGUGAUUUUCGGGGCUUUCGGCGAGUUACGGUGAUCGAUUUUAGGAAACUGAUUUUGGAAAAUUGUGUGGGGUUUGUGAGUUGGGUAUUUUUGGAUUGGUAGGUUGGAUACUGACCCGGUGAAUCUUCGUAGGUUCGGUUGACUCGUUGCGUGCCCAGGUUUCUUACGCAAUAGUGACAGGUGGGUGCUUCGAGCUGGUAGUCGGUGAGAUCGUUUCGCUUUUCUAUGUUCUUCUAUAUCAUUAUCGUAGUCUCUAUAUGUCGGUUACUUGUACUUAUCGUU
rnacentral:lncRNA from 1 species